rnacentral:rRNA from 1 species
GAUGAACGCUGGCUACAGGCUUAACACAUGCAAGUCGAGGGGCAGCAUGGGGUUUGCUUGCAAACCCCGAUGGCGACCGGCGCACGGGUGAGUAACGCGUAUCCAACCUUCCCACGACUCGGGUAUAACCUGCCGAAAGGCAGACUAAUCCCCGAUGUCCUCCACUUUGGGCAUCUUUGGUGGAGCAAAGGCUUCGGCCGGUUGCGGAUGGGGAUGCGUCCGAUUAGCUUGUUGGCGGGGCAAUGGCCCACCAAGGCUUCGAUCGGUAGGGGUUCUGAGAGGAAGGCCCCCCACAUUGGAACUGAGACACGGUCCAAACUCCUACGGGAGGCAGCAGUGAGGAAUAUUGGUCAAUGGGCGGAAGCCUGAACCAGCCAAGUAGCGUGCAGGAUGACGGCCCUAUGGGUUGUAAACUGCUUUUAUGCGGGGAUAACCGGGGCCACGCGUGGCCCCCUGCAGG